AUUGAACGCUGGCGGCAGGCUUAACACAUGCAAGUCGAGCGAGCGGCGGACGGGAGAGUAAUGUCUGGGCAACUGACUGAGGGAGGGGGAUAACUACCGGAAACGGUAGCCAAUACCGCAUACCAUAACCUGUGCCCAGAUGGGAUUAGCUAGUAGGGGGGGUAAUGGCUCACCUAGGCGCGGAUCCCUACCUGGUCUGAGAGGAUGCCCAGCCACACGGGAACUGAGACACGGUCCAGACUCCUACGGGAGGCAGCAGUGGGGAAUAGUGCACAAGGGGCGCAAGCCUGAUGCAGCCAUGCCGCGUGUGUGAAGAAGGCCUUCGGGUUGUAAAGCACUUUCAGCGAGGAGGCGUUACUCGCAGAAGAAGCACCGGCUAACUCCGUGCCAGCCGCCGCGGUAAUAC
rnacentral:rRNA from 1 species